GCCCUGAUGUUGUAACGGCAGCCUGCACAUCUCGUCAAUUGUGCGGUGCCGGUUCGAUUCCGGCUUGGGGCUCCA
rnacentral:tRNA from 2 species